rnacentral:lncRNA from 1 species
GAUAAUGUAAAAUAUUCAAACUCUAUAAGGGGAGAUAAUCAACAUAUAGUUUUUACAUUCAAAAUACCACCAAUGUUUUUAUAGUAAACAAGACACAAAGAAUGUGAUAACAUCAUUACAAUGUUAUUUGUCUUCAAAUAUAAGCAUUGAACUUGUGCUAUAGAAAAUAAAGUGAGAUAUAUGUCAAUGAGCAACCCAACAAAGCAAGAAUUGAGAUGUGUACAGGUCAAUAUAUAGUCAACGAUUCAAAAAUAACCUCAUAUGAUAAGGUCUUCAUUUUUAUGAAGCGGGCCAUUAAAUUUAGGAUUUAUUCAUGUUAAAAAUAAUUGCACAUUAUACCUUUUUAUCCCACCACGGGUAAAUUAUGACGUU